rnacentral:rRNA from 1 species
GACGAACGCUGGCGGCGUGCCUAAUACAUGCAAGUCGAACGCAGUGGGGACGGGUGAGUAACACGUGGGUAACCUCCCAUCAGAGGGGAUAACACUUGGAAACAGGUGCUAAACCGAUACUGAUGGAUGGACCCGCGGUGCAUUAGCUAGUUGGUGAGGUAACGGCUCACCAAGGCCACGAUGCAUAGCCGACUGAGGAGGGGGAUCGGCCACACUGGGACUGAGACACGGUCCAGACUCCUCCGGGGGGCAGCAGUGGGGAAUAUUGCACAAUGGGCGCAAGCCUGAUACAGCCAUGCCGCGUGUAUGAAGAAGGCCUUCGGGUUGUAAAGUACUUUCAGCGGGGAGGCGUUACCCGCAGAAGAAGCACCGGCUAACUCCGUGCCAGCAGCCGCGGUAAUAC